GCACACACAUGCACUCAUGCACACAGGUACACACAUUACACGUGUGCGCACACGUACACACACCUGUGUAAGUACGCACAUGCAUGUUUCUAUGUGGUCUCGGUUUCUGCAGCUGGUCAUGUGCUGCAGUGCAUAUUUAUGGGACCAUAUUUCUUUUACCCACAUUCUCUGUUUCGUUUGCCCUCUCUCAGCCUCUCAUCUGGUCAAGGUGUGCUCCCUGGUGAGGGAAACUGAGUUACUGUCACCAAAGGGGCUGAGUCCUCAGUGGCCCUGCUCGUUCCUUUACUUCUCUGUUUUGGUGGCUGCAGCCUACUAAUUCUCACAAUUCCAUAUGGCAGUACCCAGAGGCGCCCGGAGAUGCCCUGGGUUGCUGCUCGUUCUCUACGGCAGCAUCCCAGGGUCCCCCUCAGCAGGGGCUUUGUCACCUUGGCUGGCACAGGAGCUUGUGGCUUACCUGUGGAUUUGGAGCACACAGAGUCCAGCAGCUCAGUGCCCACACUGACUUCCACCUCUGCGGACCUGCUGUUGUGUCACCAGGGGAAGCAUUCUGCCAAGGACCAAGACAUCUAAACCAGCAGAGUCCAACGUCCCAGGGACAGGAAAUCAGUGUUCCAGGAGUGGGUCUGCAGGUGUGAGCGAAAGGAGCUCCUUCUGCAUCCAACCAAUGUUGGAACCUGGGUAUGUUGGGACCUGGGUAUGUUGGGACAUGGGUAUGUUGGGACCUGGGUAUGUUGGCUGCAGAAUGGCCCCAUGGCUUGUUUAAAACAUAAAUUGCACCUGAAGAUAGAAGCUCAGCCUUUCAGGGAGUGCUUGUCCAAUGGGCACCACAACUAGGUCUUCACUAGGCCAGCAGGGGGGUGGGGAAUGCCAUGGACCAAAGAUUUGCAAGGGCACCUGCCGGCCAUUGCUGAGAAGCUCUGUGAGUUGACUUCCAUGGCCGGAAACAGUACAGAGCUGAGUGCCUCGAUGGCAAGAGAGGCAAGAGGCAGGUGUGCGGGGUGGAGCCAUUGGAGCAGGGAGGCAAGUCUAGCCCAGAGAGGACUCCCUGAAGCCCCCUGCACGGUGCCCCCAUGACUUCAGGGGCCCAAGGUCAUCCACCAGGUACCUGUGAGUGGCACAAAGUCCCAGGAAAAGCUGCCACCAGGGGCCCCAGUGGUGGUUUCUGCUUGGGCACGUGCGGUAUGCGGGUCCCACGACUGUGCUGGUCGCCCGGCUCACCUUGUCCAGGACAGACCAUGUUGCUGAGCUGUUUGUGGUCUCUAGAGUAUGGGCUGCCACCACAAAGCACCACAAACCAGGUGGCUUAGAACUGACUGCAGGAAUGUCUCUGGUCUGGAAGCCAGAAGUGCAAAAUCAAGGUAUGGGCAGGGCCUUCUCCCUCUAAAGACCCUCCCUGUCCCCGGUGGCUCCUUAUCGGCUUCCUUGGCCUGUGGCUGCCUCACCCGACCUCAGCCUCUGUCAUCACGGGACACUCUGCCCACGUGUCUGUCUCCACGCAGCAUUUUCCCAGUCACACUGGCUUAGAAACCACCCCAAGGGCCUCAGCUUAACUUGAUUAGAUCUGCAAAGACUGUAUUUCCAGGCUGGGUGCCAUGGCUCACACCUGUAAUCCCAACAUUGUGGGAGGCUGAAGUGUGUGGAUCAUUGGAGGUCAAGAGUUUGAGACCAGCCUGACCAACAAGGCCCCACUCGUGCCGGGGCCAUCAACAGGUCUCCUGAGCUGGGAGAUGUGUAUCUCCACCUCUGCCUGUUUCUCCAUCGGGACAACGUGGACAACAGACCGUGGCCGGGAGCUUCGCCUCCUCCAUCGCUUUCCUCCCGCUGCCUUCUCAGGAUAUCUCCACCUCUGCCUGUUUCUCCAUCGGGACAAGGUAGACAACAGACCGUGGCCGGGAGCUUCGCCUCCUCCAUCGCUUCCCUCCCGCUGCCUUCUCAGGAUUCUGGGUUAGAGCCGCGAUUCUGCCACAGCCAACUUCCGUCAACAGAAAACAGUCAGGACCAGCUGUGAACCAAGCCCGAGUUUUCGUCUUCGGUCCAAGGCUCAGGCAGCAGAUAGCACGGUAACGUCAGGCCAGGGCGGCAGGACCCUCAGCCACAUGCUGGGUCCUACAUUUCAAGGACUUAUUGCCUGGUCUCCGACGCGUGUGUAUUCUACGAAGUCAAGCAAGAUGCUUGCUGCUGUCUGACCAUCAGGAACAACUGAUGUGAUGUCAUCAGCAGGGAGACCAGAGCGGUGGCCCCAGGACCUCCCGGUGAGCAAGAUCCCUGUAGAGGGGUGAUCAGGAGGGUGAAGUGGGCCCUGGGCAGGGCUGUGAAGAUGAACCGUCACCUGUGCCAGGUGGAAGCUCAUGCUCCGGGAUCGCAGGAAGCCACGUUUCCAGUGGCCAGUCCUGUGUCUUCUCCCGGGGCACCCGCUCCCUCAGUGGAGAUUCCAUGGUUGGAAAAGUGUCAGCAGCUGGGUCCCCUGGGUGAAGUCAUGAUUAACCCCCAGCAGUGGUUCUCAGUUGGGGUGGGGGUGGGUGGACAUUGGGCAGUGCCCAGAGACAUUUGUGGUUGUUACAUUCGGGGGAUGUCACAGGCUUCCAGUAGGGGAGGGCCAGGGAAGCUGCCAACACCUUGUGAAGACCAAGUCAGCCCCACUACAAAGGGUCACCUGUCCCCAAAGUCUUAAGUGUUGAGAUUGUGCAACCCUCAUCCAGGGUUACUUUCUGAGAUCCAUCUGCCUCCCGCACAGGCCAUGGUGCCAGGAAUCCCUGCACCUGCCGCUCCAGGCCCAGCCUCAGCCUCACCACAGGGUGCUGGCUUUCCUCUCCUGGGUAGAGAGAAGCCCCAGGGGUGUCUGCUGUCUCUCCCCACCCCAACAGGCGUCAUUCUGUGGGUUUGGGGCCAACGUGGGGAUUCUCCCAAUGGCCAACUGUGUCCAGUCCAAUCAUGCAUUCCGGGACUGUGGACGUGACUCAGGCCAUGGAGCUCACAUGGAAGUGGACGUGACCACAGGUGUCACUUUCCUCUGGACUGCAGGCUGCACGGGGCUCAGGGUCCCCAGGAAGCAGAUCGGCACAGAGCCUGCUCCCAGACAGCCCGGCUGGGUCCCUGCUGUGGAGCACAGCCUGCUGCAGACCUGGUUGGGGCCAGUGCAGGGGAAGCGUCCAAGUUCCUCCUUGUGAGUGUGUAGGGGACCUUCCUGAAGGCUCCAGGACCCUGGGGAGAGCGGCCUGGCUGGUGCCGAAGCUGAGCAAGCGGCUGGGACUCCUCAUGGGGACGCCACAGUGAAGCUUCUGAGAGUCGCAGAGGAGACGUGACCACACCCUGCGGAGACGGCCAUGUGGGACGGGGUGGGGAUUGGAAGAUGCCAGUCUUGGAGACCGGAGCGAGGCAGCUACAAACCCAGGAACGUCGGUGGCCCCUGGAAGCCGGGAGAGGCUGGGAAGGAUUCCGUACUGGAGCCUCCAGAGGGAGCGCCCUCAUUUCCACCCAGUGAGGCUAACUUGGGACUUCAUGCUUUCGUGAGUGUGAGAGAGUAAACAUGUGUUGUUUUAUGCCCCCUGGUCUGUGGUGAUUUGUCUUGGCAUCCCCAGGAAACGAAUCCGAGCGAGGCCUCUCCCUGCCUCGUCUCAGCCUCUGGAGCACAGACAGCCUCAGUGGAGCUUGUGAGAGGCCAGGCCUCUGUCACGGACAGAUUCACCCUCUGAGCCCAGGGAAAAGCGU